rnacentral:rRNA from 1 species
CCCGGUACCUCAGUUCAGAUUGCAGGCUGCAACUCGCCUGCAUGAAGUUGGAAUUGCUAGUAAUCGCGAAUCAGAAUGUCGCGGUGAAUACGUUCCCGGGCCUUGUACACACCGCCCGUCACACCAUGGGAGCCGGUAAUACCCGAAGUCAGUAGCCUAACCGCAAGGAGGGCGCUGCCGAAGGUAGGAUUGGCGACUGGGGUGAAGUCGUAACAAGGUACC